AUUGAACGCUGGCGGCAGGCCUAACACAUGCAAGUCGAGCGAGCGGCGGACGGGUGAGUAAUGUCUGGGAAUCUGCCUGAUGGAGGGGGAUAACAACCGGACACGGUUGCUAAUAACGCCUACCAUCAGAUGUGCCCAGAUGGGAUUAGCUAGUAGGUGGGGUAAUGGAUCACCUAGGCGACGAUCCCUAACUGGUCUGAGAGGAGGACCAGCCACACUGGAACUGAGACACGGUCCAGACUCCUACGGGAGGCAGCAGUGGGGAAUAUUGCACAAUGGGCGCAAGCCUGAUGCAGCCAUGCCGCGUGUGUGAAGAAGGCCUUCGGGUUGUAAAGCACUUUCAGCGGGGAGGCGUUACUCGCAGAAGAAGCACCGGCUAACUCCGUGCCAGCAGCCGCGGUAAUUC
rnacentral:rRNA from 1 species